rnacentral:rRNA from 1 species
UACGUAGGGUGCGAGCGUUGUCCGGAAUUAUUGGGCGUAAAGAGCUUGUAGGCGGUCUGUCGCGUCUGCUGUGAAAACCCGGGGCUUAACCCCGGGCUUGCUUUCGAUACGGGCAGACUAGAGUGUGGUAGGGGAGACUGGAAUUCCUGGUGUAGCGGUGAAAUGCGCAGAUAUCAGGAGGAACACCGGUGGCGAAGGCGGCUUGCUGGGCCAGUUCUGACGCUGAGGAGCGAAAGCGUGGGGAGCGAACAGG